rnacentral:misc_RNA from 1 species
GUGGUGUUUGGAUUGUCUCUGCCGGCUGGCUCCGUGCUCGUCCACCGAACGGCUGGCGGGCAAUCCGUGUUGGUUGUUGUGGGAUGAGAUGGUGCCUCAGAGGCUGGUUCUUGUGCUGCCUACCCCUUCAAGGGAAGCAGGCCACUUGCCUUUAGCCUCCGUCCGGCGCCUUCUAACGGGCGCGGGAGGACAGCGUAGCACCCCCCGUGUUCCACCGAGCCUUCAUCGGUCGCGUGGCCCGCGGGGAAGUGCGAUGCUCUUGGACCCAGCGCACGCCGCGGACGGGGACUCGCGCCCCGGUCCUAAGAGGAGCUUCGAUAUAACGUAUGACGGCCGCUCCCGCCCCUUGACCGCCCCGGCGGUGCAGAGGGCGGGCGCGCGACGUCGCGGAGGACUGCUACCUGGUUGAUCCUGCCAGAAGUCAUAUGCUUGUCUC